rnacentral:lncRNA from 1 species
GUGUCUUUAAGAAAACUUGAGUACUCGUGAUUCAGAAGUCCAGAGCAAGAAUCGUUUUAACAACCAAUUCAGCUUCACUGUUGGUAUAUAUGUUUGACUAAUAAAUAAAUUUAAAAUCACAUUAGCUAAUGCAAAUUGUGUUGUCAAUUACUUUGAUUUACUAUCGGUCUGGUGAAGACAUUUAUAACGAUCAAUUUCUAAGAAUUGAAAUUUUAGGUGACGUGUAGAAUUUAAAGAGGUUUAAGAUACUUAAACAUUACGUGUCGUUCGUGAGUCUAAAAACUGAGGGCGUGCAUGUUAGGUCGCCUGCAUUAUUCCAGUUAAUUUAUAUUAGCCAAAAGGAUAAAUAUAUUAGCGAUAAACAUUAAUUAUACAGUUUACAAAAAAAAGAGAUAAACAUUAAUUAUACUCACUGGAAGCUUGUUCGGCUAGUCAUUAGUCAAGCAUCUAAAACUCCGAAAGAGCAAAGUAGAUUACUAAGUUAAUUAGCAUUAGAGGAGAGGUUAAUAUUUGUUUAUACAUUGGGGAACAUCAAUCUUCAUCUCUCUUUUUAAAUGGAUCGAUAAGAUUAUAUCAAUUUGUUAAAGGGACAUGA